ACUGCUCCGAGCCCUGUUUCAGCAGCCUCGCUGGUGAUAUUCCAGCCUCCACUCUCGCCCCCAGUCUGUUCUUAUCAAGACAGAAUGUGGCAACACCCAAGGCAGGUGACGCUCUGCCCCACGCCUCCCAUGGCUCCCACCUCCCUGCCCCAGUCCUUCCUGCCUCCCUGAGUGGGCUGGCCAAGCACUCUGACAGUCAGACGCAGACGUCUUAAAGAGACAGGGCAGUGCCUGUUGAGAGGAGGCUGGGACCACGGGCAUACAGGGGACCGGUCCAGGACGAGGUCCAUGCACAGCCUCCUCAUCCCCAGGGCCCCUGCCCCGCCUCCCUGGGCCACACUGGCUUCAGCGUCAUCUUCAUGGAGGCGGGGGCCUGUGUCUGUCCUGACCAUCGCUGGAUCCAGAACAGCGCCUGGCACAUAGUGAGUGCUCAACGGACGGUGGGAUCCAAAAAAGAAUCGCCUGGACGUCUGUUUGGAGUCGGCCGCCCUGCUGCCGUCCAGCCGGCACUCAGAGAUGUAAAUACGUCCUCCGAGUGGGCCAAAUCGUUUCCUUUUGAAUGCCGGCCAGCCAUUUAUU